rnacentral:rRNA from 1 species
GAUGAACGCUGGCGGCGUGCCUAACACAUGCAAGUCGAACGAAGCACCUUACCUGAUUCUUCGGAUGAAAGUCUGGUGACUGAGUGGCGGACGGGUGAGCAACGCGUGGGUAACCUGCCCUGUACAGGGGGAUAACAGCUGGAAACGGCUGCUAAUACCGCAUAAGCGCACGAGGAGACAUCUCCUUGUGUGAAAAACUCCGGUGGUACAGGAUGGGCCCGCGUCUGAUUAGCUGGUUGGCAGGGUAACGGCCUACCAAGGCAACGAUCAGUAGCCGGUCUGAGAGGAUGAACGGCCACAUUGGAACUGAGACGCGGUCCAAACUCCUACGGGAGGCAGCAGUGGGGAAUAUUGCACAAUGGGGGAAACCCUGAUGCAGCAACGCCGCGUGAGUGAAGAAGUAUUUCGGUAUGUAAAGCUCUAUCAGCAGGGAAGAUAAUGACGGUAUCUGACUAAGAAGCUCCGGCUAAAUACGUGCCAGCCGCCGCAGUAA